GAUGAAGAACGCAGCGAAAUGCGAUAAGUAAUGUGAAUUGCAGAAUUCAGUGAAUCAUCGAAUCUUUGAACGCACAUUGCGCCCGCCAGUAUUCUGGCGGGCAUGCCUGUUCGAGCGUCAUUACAACCCUCAGGCCCCCGGGCCUGGCGUUGGGGAUCGGCGGAGCCCCCCGUGGGCACACGCCGUCCCCCAAAUACAGUGGCGGUCCCGCCGCAGCUUCCAUCGCGUAGUAGCUAACACCUCGCGACUGGAGAGCGGCGCGGCCACGCCGUAAAACACCCAACUCUUCUGAAGUUGACCUCGGAUCAGGUAGGACUACCCGCUGAACUUAAGCAUAUCAAUAAGCGGAGGA
rnacentral:misc_RNA from 1 species